rnacentral:lncRNA from 1 species
CUAAGUGCAAUGAUAGACACCAUAGACUUUUUAUGAACUAAGGAGUAAUUUUUUCUAGGAUUUUUCUUGUUUAGUUUACUGAUAACACGAUGGUUUGCUGUACAAUUAAUCUCUAACUACACUGAGGAGAGGACUGAUAUUCAUUCUUUGUUGCCAAAGCUUUUAUAUAUGCCACAUGUGCAGUGGUGAUACCAAUAUGACAAAUUGCAGAAUCAUCUGAUAAAUUGUAUUUACAUCCACCUUUGACCAUCUCACCAGCUUUCUGCCAAUAAUCUAUUUCCACUGGGAUUUAUUCAACAUUCCAAUCCUUGGAGCAGCUUCUAUCAUCUGCUAAUUUAAAAAAAAAAAAAAAAAAUCAACCUUCCAAAGAAAAAUUCCCUGCUUUUCUAGCCAAGGAAAUUUCUCUCCAGAAAAUAUGCUGGCCUGUGUGAAAGACUGGGCAAUAAUCAGAUAUACGCCCAUCUCAAAGCUUAGUUCUUUGCAAGCCUUCACAUUUUGGACACUUCCGACUUGAGUUAGAUAGGCUGCCUGGAGCUGUCCUGAGAUUCUCAGCAUUAAACUUGGAUGUGUUUACUUACAAAAUUCUGUUGGAAGACAGGUUUUAGUUCACGUGUGAGAGGACAGCCUUUCCACACCCUGCUCUCAGUAGAAACAGUGUUAUACUGCUCGGUACUUGAAAAAAAGUCUUCAGGUAUGGUACAGGUAUUUUUGCUGGAAGCCCUGGCCUUUUAGUACUUUGUGUCAUUGUUAUAUUGGUGUCCCUUAUUAGUAUUUCCAAAAGAAUUUAUUACUAUUCAGACUUCGGAAGACCAUCCCGUUAUUCUAACAAGACAUUUCAUUGACAGCGUAUUUAAGCUUUAACGGCCUCACAUGCUUAAUCAGAGACCUAUAUUUAAUCUUGGUGUUUUACAUUUACUUCAAAACUGCCUUCUGAAUCAAGAUGUUAGUUGGCUUUUGAGCAACUUUCUCAACCUAAGUCACGGGCCAUUUAGUCCCUCUUAAUGGUGGAUCUUAAGGGGAGCAUGAAACAAGUGGCUUCACAAAGCAGUUAGCUAUUUGCAGCUGCACUUUAUGAACUGCUUGGUUAAUGCUACUAAGGAGAGCAGCUAAAUAUGGGACUUCUAAUAUGAAAAAAUGAGAGCACCAGUAAAUAUGUGCAGUGGUUUGGGACAGCAGCCCGACAUCUGUGGUAUGAAGAGCUGGCCAGGGAAUAUGCUGCAACAGGCUAUGCUUUACAGUCUGCAGUAUUCUUGGCUCCGGCACCUUAUUCAACAGUAAAAAUUAAUGUGCAAUAUAAUGUAUUAUAGUCACCAUUAUUGUGAAAAUAUGAUCACAUGUGGAAGUAUUUCAUAAUCCUCUGCAAACAUAUCUUUGCUUUUAAAAAUGUACUUAUGCGCUGUUGUAAAAUAUUUCUUAUUGCAUAGCAGAAAAUGUACUUCUGAUUUUUUUUUUUUCAAAAACAUUUGCCCUAUCUCUUCAAACAAACAUUUUGAAGAGAUCACCAUUUUUGUGACUCAACCAAAGUGGAACCUCUUGAGCUGCAUCAAGCUGUUAGACAAGCCGCUUGCCAGCUGCCAACAUUCUUUUUAAAAUUGUUGGAGAUAUGGGGACAUACAGAGAAGUAAACAAGAGUAAACAUCUUUAAUUACUGGUAGGAAUACUCAAUACACAAUUGCCAAGUAGUCACUGGGGGGAAAACACAUUUUUUCCACAAUAAAAUUUAGUUACUGAGUUAAAUGGCAGACCAAUAAAAUUAGAAACUGAUGUUUUCUAAUUGAUUUAUGAGAGUAUACUGAGAAACACUAGAUAUUACUCACUAUUAUUGCUAAAUACAUACAAAAUUAUAACCAAGACCACCAAUAAAUACAAGCCAUGCUUUUAGGAGUGAUAUUUCAAUUGUGUUUUUGGAAUUAGUUUCAGUACACGGCAAUACAAUUACUAUUGUGGCAAGAACAGGACUGAUUUUAUUUUAUUUUAUUUUAUUUUAUUUUAUUUUAUUUUAUUUUAUUUUAUUUUUUUAUUAAGUGCUGGCAUCCAAUGAAAUUCCUGUUUGUGACAUCUCACUAAGCUGUCUGUGUUAUUUAAACUUUGUUUUAAUGCAAUAAAUUGUGCUUAAGAUGGGUAGUCUUGCACGGAUGAAUGUGGCAAACACAGAGAUUAAUUAAUCAAUUAAUCAGUGUUUCUUUCCAUGAAAAGAAAAUGCAGGGAAUAUGGAGGCAUGGAGUGGAGGAAAUGGAAGAAAAUAAUUCAAAUGUUUGCAGGUGAAAUAGGAAAUGAGUACAGAACUUUAUUCUUUUUUUUUCUUCUACUGGGGUUAAAGUGUCUUUUAAAUCUAUUUUAGUCAAGGAUCAAAUCUUCCUAAUCUUAACAUGAGGGAGUAACUGGCGUAUGUAAAGAAUCACUUCCUUGAGUAGAAAACAUGUUUAUUUAUCUUUUCAGUAUUUGACAAUAUGGUUGGUGUUUCUCUCAAACUUUUCUCUAAUCCUUCCUCUGCUUCUUGCAUUAAGUAAAAACCAUCUGGGAAACUAUAUUGCACUACACUAUGUAGGGAUGUGGUAUUUUACAGCAGUGCCAGAAUUUCUAAAUCUUG